rnacentral:misc_RNA from 1 species
GAAAUGCGAUAAGUAGUGUGAAUUGCAGAAUUCAGUGAAUCAUCGAAUCUUUGAACGCACAUUGCGCCCUUUGGUAUUCCUUAGGGCAUGCCUGUUCGAGCGUCAUUUAAACCUUCAAGCCCUGCUUGGUGUUGGGUGCCUGUCCCCGUCUCCGCGCGUGGACUCGCCCCAAAGUGAUUGGCAGCCGGCGUACUGGUCCCGGAGCGCAGCACAUGUCGCGCAAACGAGUGCCUUGGUACGGCGGCGUCCAUAAGCCCCUCUCUCACGCUCUUGACCUCGGAUCAGGUAGGGAUACCCGCUGAACUUAAGC